UUUUCUCUUGAGGAAAUUUUUUAUAUAAGAUUAUUAUUGAUUAAACAAAAAAACACAUCAUAUUAUUUCUCUCUUCCUCCAUAGCUUUUUGAAACCAUGAAUUACAAAGCAUUCACUUUGAUAUUGUUUGUAUUAAUUUUUUUGUCUAUCGUCAACGAUGGCCUCUCGAAGAAUAUUAUCAGAUUGGGAAAAUAGUAAAAUAUCAGCACCACCUCACCUACCUAAAUCAGAUCAUAAAGCACGUAUCAAACCACCUCCUGCAAGUAUAACAGCCAGACGAUGCUAUCUUGGUAGUAGAUGUAAACACUCCAUUGGGCAUUGACCAUAGACCCUAAAUUAAAAUUAUUACAACAGCAAGUCGUAGUUAGAAUUGGAAAUUUAUAAAAUUUGAAUGUAUUACUGAAUUUUAUAACUCGUUUAAUUAGUUGCUGGA